rnacentral:rRNA from 1 species
UACGUAGGGAGCAAGCGUUGUCCGGAAUCAUUGGGCGUAAAGCGCGUGUAGGCGGCUUGAUAAGUCUGCUCUGAAAGCCCGGGGCUCAACCCUGGGAGGCGGGUGGAUACUGUCGAGCUCGAGUCCGGAAGAGGCGAGUGGAAUUCCUGGUGUAGCGGUGAAAUGCGCAGAUAUCAGGAGGAACACCAAUUGCGAAGGCAGCUCGCUGGGACGUAACUGACGCUGAGACGCGAAAGCGUGGGGAGCAAACAGG